ACACAGGAGAAGAGAACAUUGUGGUGAGUGAAGAGAAAAAUCUAUACUGAUUGAUAUAAGCUACACAUUAUAACUCAUACACUAUAACUGUCUGUGUGUGAUAUUUCUUUCAUAUUUACUGUACAUAUAGCAAUGCAAGAAUGUGCACAGUCCCAAGCCCUUUACAAGAAACUAUAUCUGAGCUGAUAUGUUGCAGACAGGGAAAAAGUUGGUUGCAAAAGUUUUGUUAGAAUAGGUCAUAUGGCCAUUUUGAAUGACAGAAUGUAGAUCUCUAAUAAAAUAACAGAGGAAAAUGGAGACAAUGCCUUUUCCCUUACAGAUAUGAGCCGUUUACGGACUUGUUUUGAAUCAAUGACCAUUCGGUUUGCUCUUGGUGUGACUGCAUUUUUUUUUUUUUUUUUUUUUAGGUCACUGGCUCCACCUUGAGGCGUCCUCUGCAACUGCAAUAGAAAAUGAGUAUGGCAUCCACACUGAGUUUAAGGGAAUUCGAUUCUCAAAGACCACAGUCAGAUCUCAGCAGACAUCACAACGAUGAAAAUUAUAUAACAAAUGCAUGGCAUAGUAUGGCCGCAGCGUUCCAUCAGAUAUCUGAGAAUGAAGUUUCUGGAGAUUCCAGCUAUCCUCAAUCCUUCCUGGCUCAACAGAGAAUGACUGCGGCACUCAGGAGGAUACGUCUCUGCAAGGACAAACCAAGCUGAGCAAUGAACUUGGUUCCAAAUUAGCAGGCAUACAUAGGGAAUCGGCGAGACACAUAGACACUGGCUCCACCUGCUGGAUACUGAAUGCGUUUGCAUGCGCAAGUAUACUGAUACGCUGUUGUCAUUAAGCCGACAAUGCAGCAAAUUUAAUAUUUGUUAAUUUUAUGUAUUUUGUCCCACCAGUCUUGAUAUCAAAACAUAAACAGAAAUGUGCUCAAGAACGUUAAUGGCCUUCUGAACUCUUAUUUUAAAUACAUCGUGUAAAUAAGUGAAUUUCAGAAACUCCACUGAAAGAAGGCACUCUCUGAUCCAACUAAGUUUUGCCAGAUGGUGUUGUUCUGUAUUGGUGUGUAUAUAGUGUGUAUAUAUAGUGUAUUGUGUUAUUUAUAGCCUAUUAAUUUAUCAACAUAAUUCAUCAUCACCUUUCAGUCUUCUGCAAACAUUCACACUUCCAUAUAUGAGAUUCCGCACGUGUCUCAUGUUCUUGUCGUAGCCUAUUCACAACAGUCUUUUAGCUUAUUUUAUUCUAUAAAAUCUAGCCUAUUUAUUUAUUUAUUUAUUUGCUUUAGGCUAAUUGAAGUGCAAAGACAACCAAUAACUUUUUAAAUAAGCUAUGUUUGUCUUUAUUUAAAAGUAGCAGUUAUUAUAAGCCAAAAAAACAAAACAAAAAACGGCACACUACUAUAUUUCUGCUACCAAAAACUUCAAUAUUGCAACGUUUCGAAGUCUGGUUGAAAGACUCGAAAUGUUGCAAUAUAGGCCUUUUAAAAUUUUAUAGCUAUAAAAUGUGUGCCGUGUUUUUUCUUCACUUUUUUAUUUUCUCGAAAUGUUUUUUGAUCGAGCACCUGCUGAAUUAUGUUUGGAUGAGCGCACAUUAAAUUUUGAUCGGUCCUCAUGAAAUGCUUUGACAUUGUAAUAAACAUUAUGUGGUUUAUCAAAAUGAAAUCUGCAAAUAAAUGGAAGUUCAUGUUCAAAUCUGGAGUGAUUUGAAAAAGAUUUAGCUCAGGUGUGGCAGAUCCUCUUCGAGACGCAUAUCAUAUAAAAUAAGAAGUCACUUUGUUGCCCUGCUCCUGCUUGUUCCCUUGGGAAAGUUUAUUCCCCCAACGGGAUUACUGAAGGUCGUAAAUAUGAUUCAGACUACACUUGUCAUGCAGUGUACUUGAAGGUAGGAAACACUUGUCACCUGAGCUCAACAUCUGACUGUUGUGAGCAAAGCCUUCAGGACCCGUGAGAAAGAAAGCUUUGCCAUAAACACAUAAGAAAGUGAUUAUUGUGCAUAAUCGUUUUUCAUUGUGAAAUUAAUAACCAUUUAUUAACCAUUAAUAAUAUUAAUGUUCUUGUAGAAAUAUUUCCUAUAUUGGUAUUGUAGAGUUUUGUCUUGUAAAACGAAAAAAAAAUAAAUAAAUUAUGUUUUCGCUUAGAUUAAAAAACGAAGUGUAAAUAAAGAGUACAAUAAAAAUGUGAUGGCAUGUUAAAGUAGUUCACCCCAAAAUUAAAAUUCAUAAUUUACUCACC